AGAGUUUGAUCCUGGCUCAGAACGAACGUUAGCGGCGCGCUUAACACAUGCAAGUCGAACGAGAAAGCUCCUUCGGGAGUGAGUAAAGUGGCGCACGGGUGAGUAACACGUGGGUAAUCUACCCUUUGGCAGGGGACAACAUUCCGAAAGGAUUGCUAAUACCGUAUACGUCCGCUUCGGCGGGGAAAGGUGGCCUCUCCUUGGAAGCUAUCGCCAGAGGAUGAGCCCGCGGCCCAUCAGUUUGUUGGUAGGGUAAUGGCCUACCAAGGCGACGACGGGUAGCUGAUCUGAGAGGAUGAUCAGUCACACUGGAACUGAGACACGGUCCAGACUCCUACGGGAGGCAGCAGUGGGGAAUAUUGCGCAAUGGGCGAAAGCCUGACGCAGCGACGCCGCGUGGGUGAUGAAGGUUUUCGGAUCGUAAAGCCCUGUGGGAGAGGGAAGAACAUCCGAGGAGAACAAUACCUCCUCGGCUUGACGGUACCUUUCCAGAAAGCACCGGCUAACUCCGUGCCAGCAGCCGCGGUAACACGGAGGGUGCGAACGUUGUUCGGAAUUACUGGGCGUAAAGCGCGCGUAGGCGGUUUAGCAAGUCAGAUGUGGAAGCCCUGGGCUCAACCCGGGAAGUGCAUUUGAAACUGCUUCACUAGAGUAUGGGAGAGGAGAUUGGAAUUCCUGGUGUAGAGGUGAAAUUCGUAGAUAUCAGGAGGAACACCCGUGGCGAAGGCGAUUCUCUGGACCAAUACUGACGCUGAGACGCGAAAGCGUGGGGAGCAAACAGGAUUAGAUACCCUGGUAGUCCACGCCGUAAACGAUGAGAACUAGGUGUAGUGGGUAUUGACCCCUGCUGUGCCGAAGUUAACGCAUUAAGUUCGCCGCCUGGGGAGUACGGCCGCAAGGCUAAAACUCAAAGGAAUUGACGGGGGCCCGCACAAGCGGUGGAGCAUGUGGUUUAAUUCGACGCAACGCGAAGAACCUUACCUGGGUUUGACAUCCUCUGAUCGUCUGGGAAACCAGAUUUUUCCGGCUUUGUCGGAACAGAGUGACAGGUGCUGCAUGGCUGUCGUCAGCUCGUGUCGUGAGAUGUUGGGUUAAGUCCCGCAACGAGCGUAACCCUUGUCUUUAGUUGCCAUUAUUAAGUUAGGCACUCUAAAGAGACUGCCUCGGUUAACGGGGAGGAAGGUGGGGAUGACGUCAAGUCCUCAUGGCCUUUAUAUCCAGGGCUACACACGUGCUACAAUGGGCUGUACAAAGGGUUGCUAUCCCGCGAGGGGGCGCUAAUCCCAAAAAGCAGUUCUCAGUUCGGAUUGAAGUCUGCAACUCGACUUCAUGAAGGUGGAAUCGCUAGUAAUCGUGGAUCAGCAUGCCACGGUGAAUACGUUCCCGGGCCUUGUACACACCGCCCGUCACACCACGAAAGUCGACUGUACCAGAAGUUGCUGGGCUAACCUCUUCGGAGGAGGCAGGUACCUAAGGUACGGCCGGUAAUUGGGGUGAAGUCGUAACAAGGUA
rnacentral:rRNA from 1 species